CCCCGCGCCCGGGAGACCCCCCCCUUGGCGGCCCGCGGGCUCCAGGAGACGCUCCCGAGGGGCGCUCCCCGCCUCCCGCAGCCCCCCGGCUCGGGCUCCCUCGCUCCCGCCACAAAGGCGGCGGUGACAGGCCUCUGGCCUUGGGGCGCGGACCGCACGGACUGGGUCUCCUCGUGGGGCUUGGGGCUGGCACGGGCGGCCAGCCUCGCCGUACAAACGCAGCGGCGCUCACGCCCCGCGCUCCGCCGGGCUAGCCCUCCAGAAAAAGUCAGCCGCGCGCCGGCCCGCGCAGGCAGGGUGUGCACAGCCCGCCAAAGGGCAGCGCCGGCGGCGCAGCGGCGCGCGCUCGCGCCCGGCUGGCCACCUCUCAUCACCACCACCCCCGCGCCCCGCCGCCUCCCCGCGCCCCGAGUCCCCACAGCCGCUCACCUGGCCCUGGCAGCGCGCGAGGGCCGAGGACCCGGGGUGGCCCUCGCCUGGGUCGGGGCUCGUCUCCCCACCCCCAGCCGGGUGGCGGCGCCGCGCUCCGCUCGCUCUGCCGCGCUCCUCCGAGGAGCUAGCGCCGCCGCUGGCUGGCGUCUGUGUGUGCCGGGCAAGCUGGCCGCGCGCCCAGGUCCCCGGGGCGGAGCGAGGCGGCGGCCGCAGCGGCCGGAGGCGGAUUCCUCAGGUGCGGCCCCUCCCGCUUCCCCGGGACCUCGGCGGCGGCGGGGACCCCCGGACCCCCACCUCCGCCCCGCCUCUCGGCCGACCGCCCUUCCAGGCGCCCCCUUCCCGACCCUCGCGGAGUGCAGUGGGGAGCGGGCUUGCGGCCCCCCGCCCCGGGUGAAUCCCCUCGCCCCGGGGGCUCGCGCCCCCAUUCCCAAACUCGUGCGGCCCCCGGGGGGCACGUGUGUGGCCACUGCGGGGACGUGUAUGUCCACUGCGGAGAGUGGAGGGGUCUUCUCGGGAGAAGGACUGUCCCCCACAAACGCCCCCGGGGCGGCUGACGGGCUCAGCCGAGAAGAAAAAUUAUUUUCUCGCCGAUUCCACCUUCAUUCACAGAGUGCUUUCGCCGCGCUGCGGGAUUGCUUUCUCUGUCCGCUGGACGGCGGCCAAAGGGCCCUAAGCGUGAGCUCGAAGUGGGCGAUCGGGGGGUCGAAACCCUUCGGCCUUUUGCUUGAAGUGGGGCUGGGGGGGUGGGGCGGGGACGGGACGCGCACAAAUCCCAAGUGA
rnacentral:lncRNA from 1 species